GACAAACGCUGGCGGCGUGCUUAACACAUGCAAGUCGAACGGAAAGGCCCUGCUUUUGUGGGGUGCUCGAGUGGCGAACGGGUGAGUAACACGUGAGUAACCUGCCCUUGACUUUGGGAUAACUUCAGGAAACUGGGGCUAAUACCGGAUAGGAGCUCCUGCUGCAUGGUGGGGGUUGGAAAGUUUCGGCGGUUGGGGAUGGACUCGCGGCUUAUCAGCUUGUUGGUGGGGUAGUGGCUUACCAAGGCUUUGACGGGUAGCCGGCCUGAGAGGGUGACCGGCCACAUUGGGACUGAGAUACGGCCCAGACUCCUACGGGAGGCAGCAGUGGGGAAUAUUGCACAAUGGGCGGAAGCCUGAUGCAACAACGCCGCGUGCGGGAUGACGGCCUUCGGGUUGUAAACCGCUUUCGCCUGUGACGAAGCGUGAGUGACGGUAAUGGGUAAAGAAGCACCGGCUAACUACGUG
rnacentral:rRNA from 1 species